rnacentral:rRNA from 1 species
UACAUGCAAGUCGAGCGAACGGACGAGAGUGCUUGCACUCUCUGAUGUUAGCGGCGGACGGGUGAGUAACACGUGGGUAACCUACCUAUAAGACUGGGAUAACUUCGGGAAACCGGAGCUAAUACCGGAUAAUAUUUAGCUUCGCAUGAAGCAAUAGUGAAAGACGGCUCUGCUGUCACUUAUAGAUGGACCCGCGGUGUAUUAGCUAGUUGGUGAGGUAACGGCUCACCAAGGCAACGAUACAUAGCCGACCUGAGAGGGUGAUCGGCCACACUGGGACUGAGACACGGCCCAGACUCCUACGGGAGGCAGCAGUAGGGAAUCUUCCGCAAUGGACGAAAGUCUGACGGAGCAACGCCGCGUGAGUGAAGAAGGUUUUCGGAUCGUAAAACUCUGUUGUAAGGGAAGAACAAGUACGUUAGUAACUGAACGUACCUUGACGGUACCUUACCAGAAAGCCACGGCUAACUACGUGCCAGCAGCCGCGGUAAUACGUAGGUGGCAAGCGUUAUCCGGAAUUAUUGGGCGUAAAGCGCGCGUAGGCGGUCUCUUAAGUCUGAUGUGAAAGCCCCCGGCUCAACCGGGGAGGGUCAUUGGAAACUGGGAGACUUGAGUGCAGAAGAGGAGAGUGGAAUUCCAUGUGUAGCGGUGAAAUGCGCAGAGAUAUGGAGGAACACCAGUGGCGAAGGCGGCUCUCUGGUCUGUAACUGACGCUGAGGUGCGAAAGCGUGGGGAUCAAACAGGAUUAGAUACCCUGGUAGUCCACGCCGUAAACGAUGAGUGCUAAGUGUUGGGGGGUUUCCGCCCCUCGGUGCUGCAGCUAACGCAUUAAGCACUCCGCCUGGGGAGUACGGUCGCAAGACUGAAACUCAAAGGAAUUGACGGGGACCCGC